AAGAAAGUGGCAGAGUGGUUAUGCGACCGGCUUGAAACCGGCUCAAGGGGGUUCGAUUCCUCCCUUUCUCG
rnacentral:tRNA from 1 species